rnacentral:miRNA from 1 species
UGUAUAUUACAGAGGGGGAU